rnacentral:rRNA from 1 species
GGCUUUUUGAUUAAUAAUUUAAAGUCAGGCCUGCUCACUGAAAGUUAAAGAGCCGCGGUAUUUUGACCGUGCAAAGGUAGCAUAAUCAUUAGUUUCUUAAUUAGAAGCUGGAAUGAAAGGUUUGAUGAGAAAAUAACUAUUUAAGUUUAAAUAAGAAUGAAUUUUAUUUUUAAGUUAAAAAGCUUAAAUUUUAUUUAAAGACGAGAAGACCCUUUAGAGUUUUAUAUAGUUUGAAUUUAAAAUUUUUAGUAAUUUAAUUUUUAAGUUAAAAUUGUAUUUAAUUGGGGUGAUUGUAAAAUUAAUAAAACUUUUAUUUAAAUAUACCAUUAAUUUAUGAAUUUUUGAUCCGUAUUUGAUGAUUAUAAGAUAAAAUUACCUAAGGGAUAACAGCGUAAUUUUUUAUGAGAGUUCAAAUUGAAUAAAAAGAUUGCGACCUCGAUGUUGGAUUAAAAUUAAUUUUUGGUGCAGAAGCUAUAAAAUUGGGUCUGUUCGACCUUUAAAAUUUUACAUGA